rnacentral:rRNA from 1 species
AACGAACGCUGGCGGCAUGCCUAACACAUGCAAGUCGAACGAGACCUUCGGGUCUAGUGGCGCACGGGUGCGUAACGCGUGGGAACCUGCCCUUAGGUUCGGAAUAACUCCCCGAAAGGGGUGCUAAUACCGGAUAAUGUCUUCGGACCAAAGAUUUAUCGCGUUUGGAUGGGCGGGCGUUGGAUUAGCUAGUUGGUAGGGUAAAAGCAUACCAAGGCGACGAUCCAUAGCUGGUCUGAGAGGAUGGUCAGCCACACUGGGAGGAAGACGCAGCCGAGAAUCCUACGGGAGGCGGCAGUGGGGGAUAGUGGAACGCGGGCGGAAGCCUGAUGCAGCAAGGCCGCGUGAGUGAUGAAGGCCUUAGGGUUGUAAAGCGCUUUUACCCGGGAUGAUAAUGACAGUACCGGGAGAAUAAGCUCCGGCUAACUCCGUG